UAUCACAGACAAGUCACCCUGCAGCCCAAGACUAACUCACUGAAGCUAAGCAGGGCUGAGUCUGGUUAGUUCCAGAAUGGGAGACCACAUGUGAAAACUAGGUUGCUGCUGAAA
rnacentral:rRNA from 1 species